rnacentral:sRNA from 1 species
AAAAACAUUAUUAAUUUCCAAAAAAAUAACCUAUUAAAAUCAACAAAUUAGAUUUGAUAUCUAAAUUAUCAUAUUAAUUUUUAUUAAUUAUUAUAGUUCACUUCUCAUCUUUAUAUGAUUCUAUUUUUGCGAAAAAAUAAUAUCAUCAUUAUACAAAAAUAAUUAGAGUUUUUUCGCAUAUGCCAUAAUUUGAAUUUUUAAAAACGAAUAUAAACUGUUCAAUACAUGAAAAAAUAUUAUAACGGGUGAAGGAUAGAUUUAAGAAAACUUUCUACUGAGUAACGGGUCAUAAUUUGAAAUAUUUAUAUUCAAUUUCAUACAUAUUAUAUUGAAAAUUUAUAAUCUUAUAUACUAUAAUAAUUAAUAACAUAUUAGAUUUUUUUAUGUGUAUGAUGUGAUUCAAUUUUUAAUACAAGCUGAAAAAUCUUAGAAUUGACGGGUUUAGAUCGAUAUUAAUACAAGAUGGUAUACUACAGGUGAAACUCUUAAAUUAACAAUCAAACUACAAGUGUAUAAUCUUAAACACUAAACAACAUAGAUAAUAUCAACAAAACAUAUACAACUCACAGUUUACUAUACAUUUAAAAUCAAAUAAAAUAAUAUCAUAUAUUUUUAAAUCAUCUUUACAAUAAAAGUUUUUAGUUUAACUAAAAUAUAAGCCUACAUGCGGUAUACUGCAGGUUAAUAUCUAGAUUAUAGGGCUUAUUGGAUCUAAAGACGGGUCAUCAAAGAUUUCUUAAACUGAAGCAAAAUAUACUGAAUACUCAAAUAUCUAUCUGUUAACAAAUUAUAAACAAAUAAGUUCGUAAAACAAUUUAAUAUUUUAUAUACAAAAUCAAUUAAAUCUUAAUCACAUAAAAAUUAGCACAAAAAAAAAGUAUUCAACAAUUAAAAAUUUAUCAAAUCUCUGUGUUAUAUAUGUUUUGAUACUAUAUUCGAAUAAAGUGUAAUAUACCUUUUCAAUUUGUAUUCUUUAACUAAUUUAAGCUAACUAAUAUAUUUGCUAAUCUUAUACCUAUCAAAACCGACUAUCGUUUCUUAUCUCUAUAGUAUUUUUGCAAGACUUUUUUGGUGGAUUUGGGUAAAAGUGCAUUCGGGUCAUAUGGUACAUUCCCCUAUUAAAUAAAUAUGGUGUACUCCUAUUUAUUAGCUAAAAUGUUUAGAUUAUAAUUCAGAGUCAUAUCAUUAAUAAAAUUAAUAUUAAUAAAAUAAAUGGCUUUUUGGCAAGACGGAUUUGGAGUGACGGGUUUUUGAAUCAACAUUAAUAAAAAAGUAAAAUAGAAUUAAUCCACCGUUUCAAUACGGGUUAAAUCUUUAAUUUAUUAUUUUUUAAGACCACUAAUAUUAAACAUAUCAAAUCAUCUUAAUUUAGAAAAAAU